UACGUAGGGCGCAAGCGUUGUCCGGAAUUAUUGGGCGUAAAGAGCUCGUAGGCGGUCUGUCGCGUCCGUUGUGAAAACUCGAGGCUCAACCUCGGGCUUGCAGUGGAUACGGGCAGACUAGAGUGCGGUAGGGGAGACUGGAAUUCCUGGUGUAGCGGUGGAAUGCGCAGAUAUCAGGAGGAACACCGAUGGCGAAGGCGGGUCUCUGGGCAGUAACUGACGCUGAGGAGCGAAAGCGUGGGGAGCGAACAGG
rnacentral:rRNA from 1 species